rnacentral:rRNA from 1 species
UACGGAGGGGGCUAGCGUUGUUCGGAAUUACUGGGCGUAAAGCGCACGUAGGCGGCUUUGUAAGUUAGAGGUGAAAGCCCGGGGCUCAACUCCGGAAUUGCCUUUAAGACUGCAUCGCUAGAACGUCGGAGAGGUAAGUGGAAUUCCGAGUGUAGAGGUGAAAUUCGUAGAUAUUCGCAAGAACACCAGUGGCGAAGGCGGCUCACUGGCCCGAUACUGACGCUGAGGCACGAAAGCGUGGGGAGCAAACAGG